rnacentral:rRNA from 1 species
CCCUUAGAUGUCCUGGGCCGCACGCGCGUUACACUGAUGCAUUCAACGAGCUUAUAACCUUGGCCGAGAGGCCUGGGCAAUCUUGUUAACGUGCAUCGUGAUAGGGAUAGAUGAUUGAAAUUAUUAAUCUUGAACGAGGAAUUCCUAGUAAACGCAGAUCAUCAAUCUGCAUUGAUUACGUCCCUGCCCUUUGUACACACCGCCCGUCGCACCUACCGAUUGGAUGGUCCGGUGAAGCCUCGGGAUUGUGGUUCUUGCCGCUUUAUUGUGGCGUGACCGCGAGAACUUGUCUAAACCUUAUCAUCUAGAGGAAGGUGAAGUCGUAACA